UUUCAAAUUUUGAAAAAUAAAAAAAUUAAAAUUUUCAAAGGAUAAACUUAGAAAGAUGCUAUUUUGGUCAUUUUAGUUUUUGAGUGCUAUUUUUGUGAUAUAAACUUAGAAAUGUGCUAUUUUAGAGAUUUGCCCUUGAAAGUAUCUCAUUACAUUCGAUAGUACGACCACACGAAUUAUGAGUUUAUUGCUUACGAUUUAUUUAAUAUCUGGAAAUACACUUUAUAUGUGAGCUGUAUACCUCAUCGUUAACAUCGUAUGUGAAAUACGAAGAGAACCUAAGAGCAUGAGCAAUGGUAGUAUCUACCAUAGUCUCUAUUACUAAUAUAAUAAUAAAUCAAAGAAAAGUUAGAAAGAGAGGAUUGAAAAAGCAAGAAUCGAUUGCUGCUUAAGGUACUUUCAAUGAAAACUUGAGAAACUAACUGCUUCCAUAAGUGGAAGAACUAGUUUUAAAAUAAUUUUUUUUAAAAUAUUAAUAAAAUAAUGUUCAGAAACUCAUAAUUCAGAAACCUGACUAAUGAUGGUCUAAGUCCACUGAGAAUUAAUUCAUAUACAAAUUAUGCGAGGUAUAUAUUGGCGGAUCCAGUCGUUGUUUGAAUGAGAACAUAAAAAAAAUUAUAUAAACAUUUAUGGGUAUAUAAUAUUUUGUACAUGCAUCUUAUACUAACUUUUAUAAUUUAAAAAUUAAAUUUAAAAAAUUAUAAAAUUUAGAAAUGCAAAAACUAAUACGAAAGGAGAAAUAAUUAAAACCAAGUACCUAUAUAACGAAAAUAAAAAAAUAAUAUACAAAACAACUAUAUUUUAAUUUCUUAUCCAAAUCAUACAUAUGCAUAUUAAGGUGAUUGGUUGGGUUAUGACAAGUGUUUUAGCUUUAUUUUCUAUCUACAACCAUAAACAUUAUUAAUAAUAAUUUAUCUAAUCUAUUAAAACAGAAGUACAAAUAGUAUUUAGUCCUGAUUUUUCUUAAAAUAUUAUCAUCUUAUGCAACUGCAUAAAACACGGCCAUUUGAAAUAUAUUACCAUUAAUAAACGGUUCAAUGCUAUUGCCUUUUAAUACCGUCACUUUACAAAAUUAGUUAACCACCGAAAUAAUAAUGUAAAUCGAAUAUAGAUGACUCAUAACUAUUCACCUCUCGGUUUAGUAUCGUCUAAAAAGUCAAAUCAUAUCUAUUCAAAAUUCAAUUAAAUACUUUUAUAUACCAACUGUGUUCGUGUUUCAAAACCAAUUUUUCUAGGUUUAGUGAUGUGAUGUUUAGAUGUCAACAGAAUCAAAUUCAACCUUUAGAAAAUUCUGUUGACUACUUUUAUACCAACUUCGUAAAACGUCCAUUAUAUAAUUAUAUAUCAUUAUUAUUCAAGCAUGCAAUUAUACAGUAUCUAAGUUUAGUUUGAAUAGAUAUAACUAAACUGAUUACAUGUUUUGGUUUCUAUUUUUAUUACAGUUGUUUGUUUCUCGGUUUUUCUUCAUAGUAUUUACAACCAUUUUUGACAAUAACUUUUUUUUUGUUUUAUAUCCAAAAUUUAUUGAAAAUGCUAAAAUUGAUUAUAAAAAGAUAUUUUCUGUCCACCAAAUCUAAACUAAUAAAUUCAUACCGCAAUUAAAUUACAUGUAUCAUUUAAAAAACCUUUUCUAUUUUAAAGCAAUCAUCAUAACUAAAAGGAUAGUUUCAUAUUUCGGCAUCACUUCAAGUUGACAUUGUUGCUUAUGGAGGUAAAAGGAUUCCCCAUUUUAGUGUGUAAUCUUUCAUGUUUUUUUGGACUCCAUGAUUGCAUUGCAUUGUUUGAAACGCUUUUAUUUUUUUGGAACUCAUGAAUAGGUUCUAUUCCUCAUGAAGCUGUUUUAAAGAAUCCUUAAAUGCACGUCCAUACCAUGGUAUCCUUCCUUCCAUCAACUCCUUGACAUAAACUUCUUGAAAGUAUUUAGUAUCAUGAUCAUCUGUUUCUUUCUUUCUUUCUUUUUUGGGAUGUAAAACAGGCGCAGCUUCGGUUCAUUAACCUCUUGCCAAAGUACCAGCACCUGACAUUUUCUUGGUUCAGAAUCCACCUUCCAGUCCAACACUAAUUGCUGUUAAGUGGGCGAGUUCAUGGAGGCGUGCAGCGUUUCUUGUAGAUUGGCAUAAUUUCGGAUAUACAUUGCUGGCAUUGUCUUUAGGAAGAAACAAUGUCUUUGUAUCCUUAUACCGCUGGUAAGUACAAAACUAAUCAUAGUGGUUCUUCUUCCAACUUCGAGUUACAGAAGUUCUCUGUUUUUACUCCUCCCUCGGAACUGUAAUGAACUGUCUCGUUUACUUCCUCAUCAUGGCCUGAAGAGUAAUAAACAUCGAUCAUCAAGAAGUUUUUGCUUUGACCUUCUAACGUCGGAACAUCACAAGUGUAAAGACUAUCAUCGCAUCUUUCUCCUUGAGGCUCUUCUCCUUGACGAAACCGUUCCAUCCUCUAGUGAAGACAAAGCUCUGGCUACAUCUCCAGUAACAAAGGCAUGAGGUUAGUGGUCUUUUCUUCCCUUUGGUGUCUAUGAUAUCAUUAGUAGAGGUAUAUUCUUGAAAUAAAUAAAAAGAUUUUCAUCUUUUGAUUCGUUUUAAGCUUCUUCAUUCAUUCUGAUGCUAAAUCUUUUAAUUCAAGUUUAGAAUUGGAGAAUCAAAAGGUUAAUAAAUAAAAAGAUUUUCAUCUUUUUUAUAAGAACCUCUAAAUAAGAGCACAAUUAUCCAAGGUUUUUAAGAGGUAUCUUGGUAUAAUUAGAAUUAGAAAAAAAAGAAAAAUAGCAAUUAAGUUAAGGGACCUUUCUUAAAUAAGGUCCAGAAGAACCGUUUCUUAUAUAACACGUGGCAGGAGAUUUUGUAGCGUUUUUUUUUCCUCUCGUUCACCUAUCUCCUGCCAAAUCAUCGUCGCCGUGAACCUCGCCAUCCCGUCGUUCACGGCAGAAGUAGCAACGACGAAGUAGCUGUAAAGCAAUGUCCCUUCUUCUCCUUUCCUCUAUCUACACCUAAAAUCUUCCCUGCUCUACAUCUCGCGGCGGAGCCACGGAAGGAUUCAGCGACGGCUAAUUGGGCGGCUGCACUGUUGCAUAUAAAUAAUUCUUCAAUUUCUCGGAGGAGGAGAGGAGAUUAAGGUUUUGGAGAUUGUUUUUCUAUUUCUAUUGAGUUGAAAGUCGAAACCCUAGCCAUUCGAGGAUGGAUCUGAGAUUAUGCUGUUGAGGAGGCAAUGGAGGCUUCUUUACCUGCUUUGGACCGGCCACGAGGUGCUGCUUCUAAUACGGGAAUGGAGCUUUUUUGCUUCUUCUUUUUUUACGGCUAUACAUUUUUAUCGUGGUAUGGUAAUUAUGGUUUAGUUUUGUUUCCAAGCUUUAAUUGUCGACCAUAGACUCUUCUAGAAUUGCUAAAAAAGACAAGUCUUUUUCUUUUUGUAUACAAUUGAAGUUUGGUAGAUUGUAUUAUUCACAUUAGUAUCAGACAGUGGUUCUUCUAGGAAUGUCAUGACAUACAUGGCUUUUGAUUAGUAUUAUGACAAGCUCUGAUUAGCUGUUCCUUGUAUUCUUAAGUCCGUGAUCAUCAUGAGGUUGUGAAUAUGGUGGAGGCAGAGUAGUGAAGGAUCUGCUGGAUCUGUGAAUAUGGUACUGAUCUUGAAGCAGAAGGUGAAACAUCUCCAACACAAACUCGAGGAAGCCAGAGCUGAUCUCAAUGCAAAGGAAGCCAGGAUCCAAGAACUAGAAUACUCAAAGAUUGAAUCUGAAUUUGAAGGCAUUUUCCAGGGAAAGAUCGAAGCUGAAAUCAAGCACUUGGUGCCAACAAAGAGGUGUUUGUCGACAAUAGAGAGUAUUGUAUACGCGAUGAAGGAGAUGGGUGAAGAUACUGAAAGUUUGGAUAAUAUGUUGGAUUUUUUGAAUCCAUGGUUGGAGAUCAAAGAAGAUGUAAAGAUGAGAACGUUGGAAUUUUUUUUUCAAGAACCCUUAGUUAAGAAACUAGCAUUGAAGCA